AGCAGUAGCCGCGGGAAAACGUAGGGGGCAAGCGUUAUCCGGAAUUAUUGGGCGUAAAGAGUGCGUAGGUGGUCAACUAAGCGCGAGGUGAAAGGCAAUGGCUCAACCAUUGUUAGCCUUGCGAACUGGCAGACUUGAGUGCAAGAGAGGAAAGCGGAAUUCCUAGUGUAGCGGUGAAAUGCGCAGAUAUUAGGAGGAACACCGGCGGCGAAGGCGGCUUUCUGGAUUGUAACUGACACUGAGGCACGAAAGCGUGGGUAGCAAACAGGAUUAGAUACCCCCGUAAUCCCUGUCUCUUAUACA
rnacentral:rRNA from 1 species